UACGUAGGGGGCUAGCGUUGUCCGGAAUUACUGGGCGUAAAGUGUGCGCAGGCGGCCGAGCAAGUCGAGUGUGAAAGCCCCGAGCUUAACUUGGGAACUGCGCUCGAAACUACUUGGCUAGAGUGUGGCAGAGGGAGGUGGAAUUCCACGUGUAGCAGUGAAAUGCGUAGAGAUGUGGAGGAACACCGAUGGCGAAGGCAGCCUUCUGGGCCAACACUGACGCUCAUGCACGAAAGCGUGGGGAGCAAACAGG
rnacentral:rRNA from 1 species